UUUUGUUGACAUGCAAGUCUUUUUUUCUCUUGCGUGAGUCUUAUAGCACUUCACAUCAGAUUGAGCCAAUGCUGGUAUAAAGAAUAGUUAUGCCAUGCCAGUUAUGAUUUUUUUCCUGCUGUGCUAUUGUUUACUAUAGAAGAUUGAAAUGAAAAACCAAACCUAGUGAAUCUAAUGAGUAGUGGUUCGUUUAUCAGGAUGCCAUAAUUUUGCUCCUGGUGUGUUCAACUCCUCGCACAACUCCUUAUUGCAACCUUGAACAAUAGCCCCGGGUUCAGAUUUAAACUCCUAAGUUCCUCUGGGUGGAUUUCACUCCCUCUGGGUAAGCUGCCAUAUCAGUUAAGUGAGAGGUCGCAGCAUUGCCAGAUUCAUUGCUGACACAUCAUCACCGCCACCUAUUGGAACAACAAGGUGAAAUCACUGGAGUUCGUCAUCUCGCUCAAGCUACUGCAUGCUCCUGUGUAUCUCACUUCACCCUCGUAUUUGCGGCAGUCAAGCACUGCUCUUGUGUCAGCGCUCUCCACUUGUGCGUGCGGAACCUCUACUCCCUCACGUUACCCGGGGCUGCAUGCGGAGUCCUACCCCCCUUCCACUGCUGUGCUGAAGCUCUCUCUCUCUCUCUCUCGGCCAUGAUGAUGCCCUCUCGACUAGGGUUCUGAUACAGCGAAGGGAAAAAGUAACUUGAUUUGGGAGUAAAAAGAGAGCACGAGGAGAACGAGCCUGUCUAAUCUGCAAUGCUGACAUGGUGAUGACGUUGUAGUGUGGCAGUGGCUCACCUUAAACUGACGUGGCAGCUUACUUAGCCUGUAGCUGGAGUCAAACCCCACCUAACCCAGGAUUUGAUGGGCAUGAAGACUUUGAGGGCCCAAGUUAAAACAAUUAGGGUUGGAAGUUGAAAUUUGAAAUCUAAACUUGGGCAAGAUUUCAUGGUUGAAAGAUGGAUACCACUCACACUGUUCAGAAAAAGUCGAGGCUAAGAAAGAUUUUGGGGUUUAGACCCAAGGUUUAAACACUGGAAGGAGAGUGGUCAAGGAAAAAUAUAUUCUGGUGUCAAGUCUAGUUCAAGAGUUAGUCCUAGAGAAUAAAGCGAACAAAUGGGCCACUAGUCAGGCCACACAACUACCAUCCAUUACCGUUCUGGUUUUUUUUCCUGGUUGAAUGGGUUUCACAAUCGUUUGCUAUGUUAGACCCGGCUCUAGUAAUUUUCUUAGACUCCUGGUCAUGCUCUAACUCCGCCCCUGGCUUACAAAUUCAUCAGUAUAGCAAAUGUAGAAGUUAUCUUGAACAGAGUUUCAUCUUUUUGACGGUGUAUGAUAUUUUUGCCAUGUUUUCAUCGAAUAUGCUUAAAUUCCAA